rnacentral:tRNA from 1 species
AGCCCCGUCGUCCAGCGGUCAAGGAUACAAGCCUUUGGAGCUUGGGACCCAGGUUCGAAUCCUGGCGGGGCUA